CGGCGAGUGAAGCGGCAAGAGCUCAAAUUUGAAAUCUGGCCCUUCCGGGGUCCGAGUUGUAAUUUGUAGAGGAUGCUUCGGGUGCGGCCCCCGUCGAAGUGCCCUGGAACGGGCCGUCGGAGAGGGUGAGAAUCCCGUCUGGGACGGGGUGUCCGUGCCCGUGUGAAGCUCCCUCGACGAGUCGAGUUGUUUGGGAAUGCAGCUCUAAGUGGGUGGUAAAUUUCAUCUAAAGCUAAAUACCGGCCGGAGACCGAUAGCGCACAAGUAGAGUGAUCGAAAGAUGAAAAGCACCUUGAAAAGGGAGUUAAACAGCACGUGAAAUUGUUGAAAGGGAAGCGCUGACGACCAGACUCGGCCGCGGGGUUCAGCCGGCAUUCGUGCCGGUGUACUUCCCCGCGGCCGGGCCAGCGUCGGUUUGGGCGGUCGGUCAAAGGCCCCCGGAAUGUAGCGCCCCUCGGGGCGCCUUAUAGCCGGGGGUGCAAUGCGGCCUGCCUAGACCGAGGAACGCGCUCGGCUCG
rnacentral:rRNA from 2 species